rnacentral:rRNA from 1 species
GAUGAACGCUGGCGGCGUGCCUAAUACAUGCAAGUCGAGCGAACAGACGAGGAGCUUGCUCCUCUGACGUUAGCGGCGGACGGGUGAGUAACACGUGGAUAACCUACCUAUAAGACUGGGAUAACUUCGGGAAACCGGAGCUAAUACCGGAUAAUAUAUUGAACCGCAUGGUUCAAUAGUGAAAGCCGGUUUUGCUGUCACUUAUAGAUGGAUCCGCGCCGCAUUAGCUAGUUGGUAAGGUAACGGCUUACCAAGGCAACGAUGCGUAGCCGACCUGAGAGGGUGAUCGGCCACACUGGAACUGAGACACGGUCCAGACUCCUACGGGAGGCAGCAGUAGGGAAUCUUCCGCAAUGGGCGAAAGCCUGACGGAGCAACGCCGCGUGAGUGAUGAAGGUCUUCGGAUCGUAAAACUCUGUUAUUAGGGAAGAACAAAUGUGUAAGUAACUAUGCGCGUCUUGACGGUACCUAAUCAGAAAGCCACGGCUAACUACGUG